rnacentral:rRNA from 1 species
UACGUAGGGUGCAAGCGUUGUCCGGAAUUAUUGGGCGUAAAGAGCUCGUAGGCGGCUUGUCGCGUCCGCUGUGAAAACUCGGGGCUUAACCCCGAGCCUGCAGUGGAUACGGGCAGACUAGAGGCAGGUAGGGGAGAAUGGAAUUCCCGGUGUAGCGGUGAAAUGCGUAGAGAUCGGAAAGAACACCAACGGCGAAAGCACUCUGCUGGGCCGACACUGACACUGAGAGACGAAAGCUAGGGGAGCGAAUGGG